UUCAGAAUUGAUUGUCCAAGGCCAAUAUCAGCAGGUUUUGUCUGGCUAAAUUUAGGUCCAGACCUACCUGUCGAUAUUGCCCGCGGGCAGUCACGUACCUUAU